rnacentral:lncRNA from 1 species
AAAAUAUCAAAAAAUACGCAAGCUGGGCAAUGUGGUUUAUGUCACUCCAGAUCAGCCAAGCAACCCGAGCAUGAUUCAUGUCUACCCUGCAAAGGAUCAUAUAGCCAUUCUCGGCAAUGUGAAGCAUUCAGCCAGAGCACAAAUGCAAGGUGGCUUCCAUAGGAGAAAAAACAUCAGCCCACGUGUUUCUCUCCCAGAAUCUAGCCAUUGGUGAGGUGCAUUUCUGUGCUGUGGCGCUCAGCAUUUCCCCAAGUCAAUGCAUCACUUCACAGCAAUGGUGAUUGCUGGCUAUUGACUGAGUGACAUUUUCAGCAAGUGGAGCAGCCGACUCUUGAUUGUCUGUACUCC